rnacentral:rRNA from 1 species
ACCGAGCUUAACUCCAACCCCUGUGACAUACCAAUUGUUGCCUCGGCGGAUCAGCCCGCUCCCGGUAAAACGGGACGGCCCGCCAGAGGACCCCUAAACUCUGUUUCUAUAUGUAACUUCUGAGUAAAACCAUAAAUAAAUCAAAACUUUCAACAACGGAUCUCUUGGUUCUGGCAUCGAUGAAGAACGCAGCAAAAUGCGAUAAGUAAUGUGAAUUGCAGAAUUCAGUGAAUCAUCGAAUCUUUGAACGCACAUUGCGCCCGCCAGUAUUCUGGCGGGCAUGCCUGUUCGAGCGUCAUUUCAACCCUCAAGCCCCCGGGUUUGGUGUUGGGGAUCGGCGAGCCCUUGCGGCAAGCCGGCCCCGAAAUCUAGUGGCGGUCUCGCUGCAGCUUCCAUUGCGUAGUAGUAAAACCCUCGCAACUGGUACGCGGCGCGGCCAAGCCGUUAAACCCCCAACUUCUGAAUGUUGACCUCGGAUCAGGUAGGAAUACCCGCUGAACUUAAGCAUAUCAAUAGCCGGGAGGAA